UGAUUAUCAAUAGAUGGUGUAACCAGUCAAGGGAGUCACCAGCUUUGUGUCUGUGACAGCCAUAGCUGUAAGUCUCUUCUGAAGGUUUAUUGGAAGGGAAAGGUGUUGCAGGCCCAGGUCUACCUGAAUGGAGAGACCAGAGAUUAUUUCCAGAGAAGAGAAUAUCAGAAAUUGGAGGGCAUGGGCAGGAGAAGCCUUCUGUUUCCUGGGAGCCGGGAUGAAGGAGAGGGAAACGAUGCUUCUUUGGAUUCCUGGGGAGUGGGAGACCUAUGAUCGGACCAUAUGGGGCUGAUACCUGACCACUUUUCUCAAUGUAAACAUGGGUAACUGUGUGCUAAGAAAUGAUGUCCAAAAACCACAUAUGAAUCAAAGCUUCUUGAUAAUGUGAAUCCUGGGGGGCAUCAAGGGGUGACUCGAGUACUUGUGUCCUGCCAUCCAUGGGGGAGACCUGGAUUGAGCUUCUGGCUCCCAGCUUUGGCCUGAUCCAGCCGAGUCAUUGCAGACAUCUGAGACCUGAACCAAUGGAAUCAGGUACCUGAUGACGACAACUCAGGAAGACUCGAUUUACUGGUGUGAUAGAAUUAAACGACUAGAUUGAGGAGGUGGGGCAUAUUAAAUUCUAAAUUAAUAAGCUUAAUCCCUUCAGUGAUGUACCACUGAGCCUCUUUUCCAAAGGAUUUUUCUUUCUUUAACAGAAUUGUUUCUCUGUAAAUAAGAACUACAUAUUUUAUCCCCUUUCUGCAUCUCCUCUAGUGGUUUUUAUAUGUGUUUUCCAUGUUUUGCUGUUUGACUAGCUGAAAAGAGAUGCAUAUGAGCUUGGGUGUGGAAUUGGGGCCAGAAUUUGAACAUGGGAAAGGAUUUUAAACAAAAAUUCAUUGAAGUUGGAGAGUGGGGUCACAUAUUUCAGGCACUAGAAACAGAAAGCCCAAAUUUACAGAGGAAGGAAAAUCCAGAGUUUCCAUAAGGGACUGGCCACCUUAGUUUAUUAGGGGUUAAGAGUCGGGUGUAGGAGACCCUGAAGUUAUAAACUAGAAACUUGGCUCUUAUCAUUUACCAUAAAGAAACUUGAAGCAUGAAAAACAUAGCUUUUCCCUUUUUAGGAUCUAAGAGGUAAUCCUCAACAUGUUUCAGGGGAUAGGUUCUAUUUUCUAUGCUGAAAUAGAAAAGCACCUGCAAUUUUCCAUGUAGACAUAAAUAAAGAUUAUAUUGUAUCAAUUUCAACCUAUAUUUUGCUUAUCAAAUUUAAAAAAAAUUUUGAUAUCAAAUGAAAAUAGCAAAGUCAAUUUCAGAAAACAUGUUCUUCUAAAAUGAAUUGCAAAUCUACCACAAAUCUUAUGGAUAUUUUCAUAGAGUCAGUCAAGAAUAAGGUAAGCUAUAAGUAAACAAAAUUAUGUGUUUCCUCUCAAAUUAUUUUUAAGGCUUUAGUUAUUUGAAACACAGAGAGAUAAGAGAAAGAUAGAAAUAGAGAGAAAGAGAGAGAGAGAGAGAGAGAGAGAGUGCUCCCAUUCAUUGGUUCACUCACCAAAUCCUCUUAAGGACUUGAGCCAAAGCCCAGAGUGAGGAACUCAAUCCAGGUUUCCCAUGAGGGCUUCAAGAACCCAAUCACUCCAGCCACUAUUGCUUCCUCCCAAGAUCUACAUUAGCAGGAAGCUGGAAUCCAGAGCAAGAACCAGGUAAGGAACCCAAGUAGGCUGAUGUAGGACACAGGUAUCCUAACUGGCAUUUUUAUCGCUAAACCAAACACCUAUCCCCUAUCUUAAAUGUUUAAUGUCUUAAAUAUUGAAAAAUCAUAAAUAAUUCAAUAUAAUAUGUGAAUGUAUUUUAAAAUCUAAUACAUGAUUAUUUUUAAAAAUAAGAUUGAAAAAUAUUAAACUCACUUUAAAGGCUCAGGAUUCUAGAUUAACUUUACUCUUUGUCCUUUACAGGAUGUUCCAACUGAAACAAAUCUUUGACCCUUGAGCUCUAACUUUCUACAGCUACUUUUAAGGACUUUUAAGAAAUAUUUAUUUGAAUGUCAAACUUACAGAGAAAGAGACAGAGACAAAGAGAAAUUUUCCAUCCACUGGUUCACUCUCUAAAUGGGUGCACCAGCCAGCACUGGGGCACAGCAAAGCCAGAAGCCAGGAGUUUCAUCCAGGUUUCCCAUGUGGGUGGGAGGGAUCCAAACACUUGGGCCAUCUUCUGUUGCCAUCCCAUGUCAUUAGCCUGGAGGGAGCUGCAUCAGAAGUGGAGUGACCAGAAAAUGAACUAAUGCUACAUGGGAUUCUGGCAUAGCAGGAAGCAGCUUUACAUGCCACAACAUAGGCCCCUACUUUUAGUUUCAUAACAUUUGUGUAUUUAUUUAUUUGUUUAUUUUUUGAAGGGCAGAGCAGAGGGACUGAAACAGAAAGGGAAAGAUACGGCAAGAUCUUGCAUCUGCUAGUUCACUCCCCAAAUGCCCAUAACACCAGGACUGGGCCAGGGCCAAGCUAGAAGCCAGGAACUCCAUCUGGGUCUCCCAUGUGAGUGAUAGGGGCCCGAGUACUUGGGCCUUUAUCUGCAGUCUUUCAGGAUGUGCAUUAGCAGGAAGAAAUGGAGUAGCCAGGACUUGAACCAGGCACUCUGAUAUGGGAUGCAGAUGUUUCAAGAAGUGACUUAACUGUUACACCACAGACCUACCCUUUAACUACUUUGCAAAAGUAAAAUUUCACUGUUUCCUUCUAAAGAAUUGGCACAAACAAAAUCAAAGAUAUCUGUGAUAUUUGACCUUAAAUAGUAGAGAAGAUUGAUUCUUCUUUACUUUUGGAAAAAUUUAUGAUAUGAAACCAAUAUUGUUUACCACAGAUCCUUCCCUGCAGCCACCUGGUUUUAUAUUGAGUAAUUUCCAACCCAAUUUGCCCCUUACAAAGUCAAUUCAUCCCUCAACUGGGCCCUCUUGAAGAAACAAAUCAUUAAUUGGACUUGCCAUUGUGUCUUGGACUAUUUUGGUGACAAUUUUCUGUGACAGGGAAAAAAGUUGCUAAUUCAUUGCUUCAGGAAAUGGGGGCCUAAUGGCCUCACAUCUGGUAAAUUAUUGCCUUCCUGCUCCUUGAGGCACAGCAGCAGUGCACAGCAUUAUUUAGAAUUAAGAAAAAACAGCAAAGGAAAUCAAUUUUUACAUUUGCAGUGGACUCUUAAAAAAACAUAAAGAUUUACAAGCCAAGAGCAUUUUCUUUAUAAAAGCGUCCAUUGUCUAAGACAGAGAAUUAAGUCAGCCAGAGGAUAAAUUAUGUGAAAACCCUUCCAGUGUCUUAAUGGAAACUAUGAGUGAUCACUGUAGAGUUUGAUCAUGUGGCAUAGCUUCUUGCCUCUGGGGAUGGGACCACGUGCAAAUUGUGCAAAUGUAGUGAUUCAGCCUUUUAGGUAGGCCUCUGAGGGAUGUGACAAAUAAAGAUUGAUUUUACUUUGUGUAUGGAUCAUGUUGCAUAUUGGAUAGGAAAUUCAGCUCAGUCCCACUUUGACUUGAUACCUAGACAGAGCAGUUUGCAAAAGAAGUAUGGACGGGGCUAAGUAGUGGGGCAGGGAUUUCCCCGAAGGACACAUACAGGACACACAGAGUAAUUUUCGUUAUAAAGAAUUAUGAGACUUCAGGUACAGAAAUUGAGAUGUCUCUCCCGGGUUAUUUGUGCAAGGCUUCUAUCACAUCAAGUUGAAGCUGGGCCAUGGAUUAAUGAAACCUCUGAUGACUCCCAUAGUUAGCUAUAUCUAAUUCAUGUGAAAAAAAUGAAGUAUGAUGACCAAGCAGAUAAAGUGGAAGAUUUUGGUCACAGAACCAAGAGGUCUGGCAAAAACAAACUUAGCAUCUGAGAAGGGUAUUGGUCCGGAGAGGCGAGGACUCUUUAUCCUGGCAGACCAGUGACCACUGCACUCAUAGAGUCAGGCUUACUCCCAUCUAAUCCUUUGUAAUCCCCAAUUGGAACAAUUAAUUCUACAAGGGGCCAUUCUCCCUUUCUCUGGCAUUUCUAUCAUGCACAUUGUGCACAUCUAUCUACCCAUUAUGACUCAUUGUGACAGUUCCUUUCAUCCAGAGCUGGGAAUAUUCAUUGCUUUUGGUCAGCGAUUUUAGUGUUGUGACAGGGGUGCAGUUGAAGUGUUUCCUAGGUCGCAGUUCACAGAAAACAGCAUGUGCUUAGGCAGGGAGAGAGAACGGGGGAAAGAGGCUGUGGUUUUGGAAUUCAUUCUGCUUAUUGAAACCCGGAGCUUGUUCCCUACAGGUGACACACAUAGAAAGUGAGGUUAGAAGAAUCACUGGUGGACACUAAGAUAAGCAGUUCCAAUCAGAGCAAGGAAAUAUAAGGUAAACACCACAUUUUAGGAUCAGCAGCUGUAAUUCAAAAGGACAAAACAUGUCAGAGCGCCUCACAUACUUGCUGUAUCUGAUGUUAUUUGUUACUUGGUUAUACCUUCCAUUACCAAAUGAUCUGUGGUCAGACAGCCACUCACCUGAAGACAUUUAACAAAUUGGCUUACACAAUUGAUGUAUCUUCUCUAACCUGCCCCCACCUAUUAAAAUCAGAAAAUAACAAAUUGGUUUACACAAUUGAUGUAUUUUCUCUAACCUGCCCCCAUCUAUUACAACCAGAAAAUAAUCAAGCAAAACUUUAAAAAUUUAAUUACUUCCUUGGCCUUUGUGACAAAAUAAAUCUUGGGACUGUAGAUAAGUUAAGCAUUACCAGUUUCAUUGUUUCUUAGAGAUGGGUAAUUGUUGUUGUUCAUGUUUUGGCGAUGUGGGAAUGCAGGAAGAUGUUAAAUACACAAUGUAAAAUAUUAUCUAACAUCAAAUUUAAAUUGUUUUCACAUUUAUUAUCUCAUUUUAUCUUCCCAAUUCCCUUAAAAUGUGGAAGCACCUCCAUCCCCAUGCAACGUGUAGGAAACCAAGGCUUGAGUUGUUGGAUGCAUUUUGCCAUGGUUCCUUACAAACUCAGAACAAGAACACUAGAAUAUAAUCCAACUAUGGACUCUUUUUCCAUAUACUGUGCUGCUGUAAGAUUUCACUGCUUUAUAGGGAAACUAGGCUUUUAUGUUUCUGAAAACUCAUAGUGUGUCCCAGUUAUCUUAAAUGUCAGGGAGAAAGAGAGGGAAACAAAGAGGAAGGGAGACAAAGAGAGAUUCGUGUUUCCUAUUUGGUAGGCUUAUUCAAAGCCCUUGUAUAUCAGAAUUCAUUUAAUCAUCACAAGUUUAUUGCAUAGAUACUAUUAUUUGGAAUAUUUUACAAAGAGGAAAUUAUUCUCAAAGUAGAUAUGGAACUUGCCCAAGUCUACAACUACUCAAGUAAUUGAGCUGGGAUUUCAAUCAGGAAGUCUAGCUCUAGAACCAGGAUUCUUUUCUACUAUAUUUUGCCCCUCCCUAAACUCAGUGAAUGCUUUUUAUUGUUUUCAACAAUGAGUGCAACUUUUACCACAUAUAAAGCCCUGAUAAAUAUUUUAUGAAAUGGGAAAGAAAGGAUGAGUUCUUGCAAAGCGUCUACUUCACUGUUGACAUUUGAGGCCAGAUAAUCCUUUGUUGGGGGAAAUACCUAGUGUACCAUAGGAUAUUUAGCAGCAUCCCUGACUUCUACUAUCACAAUGUCAGUAGUGUGGACUCAGUAGUGAUCAUAAGAAAUGUCUCCGGACAUUGUCAAAGAUCUGUAGAGGUACAGGUGGAGGGAUGGCAAAUUCAUCCCUCAGUUAAAAAAUUUCUGAUCAUGGUUGUUAGAGUCCUUUUAGGAAUCCAGUGUGGAGCAUGCUCCCAUCUGACUUCCUUUGCCUAGUAACAGCCUUGAACAUGAAAUGAGGAAUUUCUGUAUAUUCCUUCCCCCACCCCAACAGAAGAUAACACUUGUUAGGAUGCUAUCCUUCCACUCAGGAAAUAUUCUGUCUGUGUGAGGAGGGGACUGUAGAUGGAUGGUGAAUUUCUGAUAGGAAGAUCUUUGUUUAGUAAGUACCCAUGCUCACAUGCAACUACACAUUGCUAUACUUAGUACAGCCCUACAAAAAGUAAAAGGAAUGAGGCUUGUUGUGGGGUAAUGGGUUUGAUGUUUGAGAUGAACUGAAGUUUGGCAGUUUCUCCCCAGUCAGGAGCUGACUUCAUGAUGAUGCUUCUUUGAAUGCGUAGUUGUAAGGACUCUGGGUGGAGAAAAUCCAGAACUGUUUAUCUUGCAGCAUGAGAGAAACAUUGUGUAUUUUCUGAGUCAUCUGAAACACAGAGUGUAGAACUUUCCUGAUGGAUAAGGAAAUCUGAUGUACUCACUUAAUAUAACAAUGAGGUCAUUGGAAGACCCGUAAAACUGAAGUGUGCUAUCAAAAUUCAGAUCUGGUUUGUUAUUCAGAUAAUGGUUCCAAGAUUAUUUAAAAAGCCAGUUUUGACAAGUUGAAUUUCUUUAUAGGAUGUUUGUUUAGUUGUACCAUAGCCAUCCUGUUAUAAAAGUAUUUUCAACUGUGUAGAGAAAAUCAGAGUCAAAAGAAUUUUUCACAAUGAGAUUUACACAUCCUUCAGAUGACAACUUUCUGACUCAUAUUUUCACCAGAAAUAUAAGAAAAGAUUUCCAAACCUCCACAGGCAUUUCUAAAAAAUCACAUCAGAAAGAAAAUAAUAUGGUAGAAGAAAUUGUAAAUAGGAUUGUAUCUUUAAGAGUGCUCAAGAUCCAGCAGACUCCUAGAAUGACAUUCGCUGUAAAUAAAACUCUGACCUCAGAAUCAACCCUUAAGGCUUCCUGGUCUGGCUGAAAGGUCUGGGAGAGCAUUUCAGGCAUGGAAAGCCAAGACUCUGUGGCAACAAAUAUCCUACACGGAGGAUCUCUGUGAGACCUCAGUGGAAAGAAAGGCCACCAAAGAAGGAGACACUCUUCUCCGAAGGGAGGAGAGAACAUCCACUUUGCUUAUGGCUGUGUCCAAAUACCUAUGGAGUCUAUGGUCACAAAAGGCUUCCAUAGCCUUGGCAGCCCAUGGCGAGAGCCUUGGGUGAUCACUGACGUCAUAAACAAGAGUGUUAAUUGUUAAAGGAACAACAAAAGUAACUGUACACUAACUCCCCCUGUAGGACUUCCGUCUUUAAUGAGUUGUACUAUGACAAUUAACUGCAAAUCUUGUUCUCAAAUUGUACUCUAUAUGUUGCGUGUGGGGGGGUGCAAACUGUUGGAAUCUAUGCUUAACAUGGAGUUGGCCCUCUGUAUAUAAAAUUAAACUAAAAAUGAAUCAUAAUGAAGAAGGAGAUG